CCCACACUCAAGAGUUGGGAACCACACAAGGCUGUGGCUACAGGAGUCAUGGCUGUCACACACCUUCACCCACCCUCCCAAGGGCAAGCUCCAGGACAGCAGGAACCUCACCUGCCUUGUCCUCCUCCCCACCCCGGUGCCUGACACAUGGCGGAUGUUCAGUAUAUGUUUUUAGAUGGAUGAACGAGUGACAACUAUAAUAACUGCUCUGCUGACCUCAUGUGGUGGUGAGGAUCCCCCAUUGUGCCUGCCUCAGGAGAGUGAAUAAGAUAACCGUUGAGGGAAGCCAGAUGGAUGUGAAGGAUUAUGAUAACAACCCAACGCCAGGGGGCGGAGGAGUCAAAUGGUGACCAGGGUGAGCAGAGAGGCUGCAGAGAAAGGACCAGCUCGCUACUCCUUUCCACGGAAUCUGAGGAGCUGAGAUUCC
rnacentral:lncRNA from 1 species